rnacentral:lncRNA from 1 species
GAAAAAUUUAUGAAUGUUUGCAUUAUUCUGGACAUUGAACAUGAGAUUUUAUAUUUUAUUGCUUAUCUUUAUUUUCAGACUAUAUUAUUAUAUCAGUGUGAUAUGGGAAUUCUUAUUGGGCUGUAAAGCUCACACCCCUUCAUCUUUCUUUUUCUUCUCAGAGUUACAGGAUGAUUUAGAUUGGCUAUGGCUUGGAUUUACGGGUGAGCAGAUGGAUAGAUAGAGUGUUAUAGUAUCUGAUCAGAAAAUUGAAGAAAUUUAAAUUGUAAUUAUGCAAGAUUUUAUGAAUUAUUGUUGAAAUUAAAUAUUAUGGUUGAUAAGAUUGUAAUGAUUUAAUUUGGCCUUGCAUAUUCUUUAGGGCUUGCUCUAAGGAGUGUGCGGCCAUCACGUAUCCGACCCGGGUGUUGGGUUCGGGGCGUGACACAGUCCCUCCUUUUUCAUCUAUCCUUCCUAUAACUUUUCGAACCAACGGUGGAUGGAGGCCAUCCAUCCUUUCAACUUUAUCCAUCCACCCUCUCAUGAUCCAACCAAACACAGGGUUAGUGUGGGCCAACAACUGAAAUCUCACUUACCUAACCAUAACCUGUUACUUCUUCUACUUGUAGUCUCUACUUCAUACAUCUGCUUACAAAUAUACCUUUUGAGGUUCCUACAAGACUUGUUGCAUCUCUCUCUGUAGCUUAUUUAUUGGGAACAACUCCAAGUUUCAAAUGCACAAAAUGACAG